rnacentral:rRNA from 1 species
UACGUAGGGUGCGAGCGUUAAUCGGAAUUACUGGGCGUAAAGUGUGCGCAGGCGGCAGAGCAAGUCGAGUGUGAAAGCCCCGGGCUUAACUUGGGAAUUGCGCUCGAAACUACUUUGCUGGAGUGUGGCAGAGGAAGGUGGAAUUCCACGUGUAGCGGUGAAAUGCGUAGAGAUGUGGAGGAACACCAAUGGCGAAGGCAGCCUUCUGGGCCAACACUGACGCUCAUGCACGAAAGCGUGGGGAGCGAACGGG